CAAGAGCGUAUAUUAAAGUUGCUGCGGUUAAAAAGCUCGUAGUUGGAUUUCAGUCUAGGAAGGUUAACUCGCCGAAAGGUUGUACGUUGAUUUUCCUCAGACUUCGUCAGAAGCUCGUGCUGCACUUAACUGUGUGGUACGAUGUUCUGACCUUUUACCUUGAGGAAAGUAGAGUGUUUCAGGCAGGCUACCCAGCUUGAAUACAUUAGCUUGGAAUAAUGAAAUGGAUCUCGGUUCGAUUUCGUUGGUUCUAGAGCUGAGGUGAUGAUCAAUAGGAACAGGCGAAGGUAUUCGUACUUGAGAGUGAGGAGUGAAAUCCGAUGAUCUCUUAAAGACGAUCCGAGGCGAAAGCAUUUGUCAAGGAUGUUUUCAUUGA
rnacentral:rRNA from 1 species